CACUAGACCAAUCAGCAGCCUUCAAGAUAUCAUCCAGGCGACAUCCCAUCGGAGCAGCUUUUGAUGCCAUGGCGCCUCUGACCGAAUGGGCUGAAAAUAUUGAAGUAUCAAUCCCUGCAGCGGAGAGAAGAUUCUUAACCCAACGAGCUAACGUAGUUGAGGAGAUCGGGAGAAACGGCGUCUUAAAGGAAAUAAACAACUGAGAC